AACGAACGCUGGCGGCAUGCCUAACACAUGCAAGUCGAACGAGACCUUCGGGUCUAGUGGCUCACGGGUGCGUAACGCGUGGGAACCUGCCCUUAUGUUCGGAAUAACUCCCCGAAAGGGGUUCUAAUACCGGAUAAUGUCUUCGGACCAAAGAUUUAUCGCCUUUGGAUGGGCCCGCGUUGUAUUAGCUAGUUGGUAGGGUAAAAGCCUACCAAGGCGACGAUCCAUAGCUGGUCUGAGAGGAUGAUCAGCCACACUGGGACUGAGACACGGCCCAGACUGCUACGGGAGGCAGCAGUGGGGAAUAUUGGACAAUGGGCGAAAGCCUGAUCCAGCAAUGCCGCGUGAGUGAUGAAGGCCUUAGGGUUGUAAAGCUCUUUUACCCGGGAUGAUAAUGACAGUACCGGGAGAAUAAGCUCCGGCUAACUACGUG
rnacentral:rRNA from 1 species